ACGGAAGGCAGCAGUGGGGAUAUUGGGCAAUGGGGGGAACCCUGACCCAGCCAUGCCGCGUGAGGGAAUGAGGCCCUACGGGUCGUGAACCUCUUUUGCCUGGGGAUAACCCCUCCCGCGCGACGGGGGGCUGCAGGUACCAGGCGAAUAAGCAUCGGCUAACUCCGUGCCAGCAGCCGCGGUAAUACGGAGGAUGCGAGCGUUAUCCGGAUUCAUUGGGUUUAAAGGGUGCGCAGGCGGCGGGUUAAGUCAGCGGUGAAAGGCAGGGGCCCAACCCCGGCAGUGCCGUUGAUACUGGCGCGCUGGAAUGCGGUCGAGGCGGGCGGAAUGUGGCGUGUAGCGGUGAAAUGCAUAGAUAUGCCACAGAACUCCGGUAGCGAAGGCAGCGCGCCAGGCCUGCAUUGACGCUCAGGCACGAAAGCGUGGGGAUCGAACAGGAUUAGAUACCCUGGUA
rnacentral:rRNA from 1 species